CUUGGGGCAUGUAUAGCGUCUGGCGGGUUCUUGAUUACCAAGAAAGAGGUUAAAAAACAUACAACAAAAAAUAAGAAUUUCAAUGGACCAGUUUGACAGGGUGUUUCUAGUUCUUCAUCUGCAAUGUUUAAAGUGACUCCCGGGGCUUAUAAAUAAUGAGAUCACAUACCUUUUAGGCCUCUCUCAAGCUGCAAAUUUAAACGUCGCAGAAUUCAAUCGAACACAAUGAAUUUAAGUGGAUGGGUAUUUUGUGCGCUCUCAAUUUGGCAGAGAGAUGCUGUUAAGUGGAUGGGUAUUGCUCGGUGAAACAAAAUUUCCCAAUUUGCGUAGAGGGGAAUAAAGUUUGAAGCUCAAAUCAAAUGAAUUUACUUGUCUUAAUCCUUCUGGGAUCAGUAUUUUAGUCUGGGUGGAAGAGAGGAGGAGCAAAAGAUAGUGAGAAGGAGUCGAGCAGACGAUCAAAAUUGAGAGAGAUGAUCGCUUUUUAUGAAAUCAAAGGUUAGGAAUUAGGCUCGAAGCAGGUCCGGAGGGAUAAGCUUGUCAUUUCAAAUAAAAUAUAUUGCUUCGUCGUACAUCCAGCAGAGUUGGAACUUGGAAAGGAUUAGAUGGUCUUUUUAAACUGAAUAAAUUUUCUCACGAAAAAGACAUGUUCUCGUAUAAUAGAUAUAGUAGAUUAUCUUUAGACUUCGACCUCCAUCCCAAUCGACUCCGACCUUCAUCCCUCUCACUCGACCUCGAUCUCUCUUCGAUUUAUUGCAAUUAUUAAAUAUCAAAGUUGGGUUUUCUUUUGCCCCGUCACAACAAGUUUAGAUUGAAGGGGCUCGGCCGCAAGAAGCUUAAAUCAGGACAGAUCUCCCCAGAUUAUUUCAUUUUACUUUAAUUUUAUUUUUGGCUUUGAUUUUGGAUAUCAUCUUACUAAUUGGUUUUUUAUUAUACAGGUAAUUAGGACUUCAAAUUGGUGGCUUAAAAUUGAGGAUUUUAUCAAGCUUAUGCAUGUUUCUGAAGAGGCUUUUGUUGGAGUUAGGUGUUUAUUUGUAGAUUGACUGAUAGGUCAUUGCAUCCAACCAUGUUUAUGGGCUUCUACCACGAAAUCCAAAUAUUAUCUUGGGUACCUUGAAAUAUUUGAAGUAUGUUGUCUUGCAUUGGACUUUAGCCGGAAAAAUUGGGUAGGAGAAAUGUUUUGGUUUUGUAAUGCUACAAAAAGAUUGGCAAAAUUAAUGCUUUUAUUUUGUAUAUUUUUCUGUUAGUUCUAAAAUGCACUUUAUUUCCUCUC